AUCGUUUAAAGGUUUUAGGACAAUGCUUUUUCGUAGCAUAAAUGUGGGUUCGAAUCCCACUAGGAGUA
rnacentral:tRNA from 1 species